CCCGCGGCACCCGCGGCCCCGCGCUGCGCGGACGGCGGGCAGCACCGUGCCCGGGCCCCCUCCUGCUCCGUCCUGUUAGGAAGCCCACUAGAGCAAGAAGAUGAAGGGCAGAACUGAGGCUGGGGUCCCAGAGUCCUGCUUUUCAACUCAUCCUCAUCACCCUCAAUCCCAGGUGCCCCAUGGAAUUCACAGAGCUACCCCGAGCACCUUUGGAAAGCCUCUGCGUGGAGAAUGAAUCAGAGAAGACUUUGCUGAAUCUCUGCAGAUUUCCAGGAAGCCUGAGAGAAGAGGGCUGAGAGAAGAGGGCUGGCGAAGGAGGCUUCGUGCUUUUGUUCUCAGUGCCCCUCAGGGCUCCUCAUCCUUGUUCCAUUGACCAAUGAUGAUGCCACCUGCUGGAGGCUGGGUCCAGCUAUCAGUUCUCCCUCUGGUCAGGUUGCCUUUGCAUGGAGAACAGGGUACAAGAGUAGCCAGGGAAGCCCUAGGAGAUGCAAGUUGGGUGUCCCCUGAGGGGUCCAGGGACAUUCUCACCACCACCCCCAUCUUCCUCUGCCUGGCUCCACUGCUGCACUGACCAUAUUCUCCCUGCUUGUAGAAUUAAAAGGAAAAUACAUGGAAGAUCAUAGAUUUUACAAUUCGUCACCUAAAUGGAGGAGUCUCGGCUGCCUUAGACAUUUUCUUUUUUCUUUUUAAAUGACAACUUUACAUUUCUUUUUAAUUAAACAUUUUUUUUUGCCUUAAGCUUUUCUUUACACAUUAAAAAGAAAGUGGGGAUGGGGUUGUAAUGUGAUUUUAAUAAAUAUGUGAAUAAAUAAAUAUUUUUGAAAAGAUGGA
rnacentral:lncRNA from 1 species